rnacentral:rRNA from 1 species
CGAGAGUUAGUUGUCCUCGUCGUCACGAGUACGAACGCUGGCGGCGUGCCUAACACAUGCAAGUCGAGCGAAGCACAAGAAUACGAUUCUUCGGAUGAAGAUUCCUGUGACUGAGCGGCGGACGGGUGAGUAACGCGUGGGUAACCUGCCUUACACGGGGGAUAACAGUUAGAAAUGACUGCUAAUACCGCAUAAGACCACAGUACUGCAUGGUACAGUGGUAAAAACUGAGGUGGUGUAAGAUGGACCCGCGUCUGAUUAGGUAGUUGGUGGGGUAACGGCCCACCAAGCCGACGAUCAGUAGCCGGCCUGAGAGGGUGGACGGCCACAUUGGGACUGAGACACGGCCUAGACUCCUACGGGAGGCAGCAGUGGGGAAUAUUGCACAAUGGGGGAAACCCUGAUGCAGCGACGCCGCGUGAGCGAUGAAGUAUUUCGGUAUGUAAAGCUCUAUCAGCAGGGAAGAAAAUGACGGUACCUGACUAAGAAGCCCCGGCUAACUACGUG